rnacentral:misc_RNA from 1 species
GUAAUCUCCCACUCUCCGAUUCGGACUCGGAUUGGGAGCGGUGGACGUGGGUGUUGUGCUGCCUUCACGGCGGCUCGCCUCAAUUGCAUUAGUGCAACUCCAAGUUGGACAUAGUACGGCGUGAUAAGUAUCUUCGCCGGCACCUUGAAAGAGGGUGGCCAAUUUGGAGCGCUGUGCUUCUAACGGUCUUUGGACAAUCUCUGACA